rnacentral:rRNA from 1 species
GACGAACGCUGGCGGCGUGCUUAACACAUGCAAGUCGUACGGUAAGGCCCUUUCGGGGGUACCCGAGUGGCGAACGGGUGAGUAACACGUGAGUAACCUGCCCACAACUUUGGGAUAACGCUAGGAAACUGGUGCUAAUACUGGAUAUGUGCUCCUGCUGCAUGGUGGGGGUUGGAAAGCUCCGGCGGUUGUGGAUGGACUCGCGGCCUAUCAGCUUGUUGGUGGGGUAGUGGCCUACCAAGGCGGCGACGGGUAGCCGGCCUGAGAGGGUGACCGGCCACAUUGGGACUGAGAUACGGCCCAGACUCCUACGGGAGGCAGCAGGGGGGAAUAUUGCACAAUGGGCGCAAGCCUGAUGCAGCAACGCCGCGUGCGGGAUAACGGCCUUCGGGUUGUAAACCGCUUUCAGCAGGGACGAAGCUUUUUGUGACGGUACCUGCAGAAGAAGCACCGGCUAACUACGUG